UGGCUGAGAGGUAAAGCGCUUGGCUUCCGAACCAGGGACCCCGGGUUCGAAUCCUGG
rnacentral:tRNA from 1 species